AACUCCUCAUCUAUCGGGCGGGCGUCAGUUUAAAGGACUCUAAGGCUUAGACAAAUAGUGACAGAGACAAAAAUCUACCUGGGGUGGAAAGCCGGAGGUCAUUGCUAUGUCAACCCACAUUUGACACUGCUGGGGUUGGGGACGGUGUCUACACCUGACAGAGGGCUCUUCGCUCGUGUCCUCUACCACACUCAGAUCUUCCUCAGAGGAGUUUCUGUGAACGCUGUGCUUUCUCAGGCAAAGUGGAAAAUUCCUGUCCUUUCUGUGUGCCAGCAGGACACUAACAACCCUUGCCUCAUCCUGUCUUUCGAAUUAUCUACGAAAAUGACAUAUGCGUGCUGUUCCAAAAAUCUUAUUUCAUCCUCAGAAAAUUGUAAAUUGAGACCAAAAUCUUGCUCAUUGUACUACCAUUUUUAACAUGCUGACACUCAGGCCUCUAAAAAGUUGCAUUGAUUCCUGUAUAGGUUGUGACAGAUGUGAGAGACAGGAGGAGGCUCUGGGGUCAUGUGACUGGAAGAGUUAGACUGACCCUCAACACCUGCAGUGGUUAAAAACCGGCACACCCUCCGGUCAGCACAAUGGAGCUGGACCUGUCGUCAGGAACGCAGGUGAACCAGCCCUGAGGGCGUGAGGGCAGGAGAGCUGCCUCUGCCCCUUCACAUGCACCACAUGGUUGCAGAGCAAUCAGGAGAGAGGGCCCCGCACCUGGCCUGGGAGACACCUGAUGGCGUGAAUGCAGGCGAAAUGGACCUGAGGGCCUGACAGCAGAAGAACCGGCCCUGCUCCUUGCUGCAAGCCGCACUGGGUGAGCUAGCUGAAGCAGCCCUGGAGCUCCUCCGGAGAGUGACAAGAAGGGAAAGCUAGGGGGCUGUCCAACACAGCUACCCCCCAGGCCCAGAACCAGGGCAAGCGUUAGCCCACCCCAACAUUAGCCUAUCUGUGAAGGGACUAAACCUACAAUUCCAAGACAGCAGGAUCUCCAUGGCAUAGGACACAACAGGAUAUCCAAGAGGAGCCCCAGAAACCAGAAGCCUCCAGCCAGACCAAUGACUCAUAGCAAUGAACACUUGCAAGAUGAAUGAACUAAAGGGGAAACUGUGCUCAACAGGCCACAUUAUAGCUUCCAUGACAA